rnacentral:rRNA from 1 species
UAACUGCGCGUCGAAAUGUGAACUGCAGGACACUUGAACAUCGACACUUUGAACGCAUAUUGCGGACCGUGGCUUGUCCACUGUCCAUGUCUGGCUCAGGGUCGGUUGAACAUCC